rnacentral:lncRNA from 1 species
AAGAAACCCUGCCCAGGGUGUGGACGUGUGAAUUAGAGGGAAAGGCGGGAAGGGCCAGCUCCCACAUCUCGCUAGCGCUGGCCCCCGAGGUCAAAAGCUACACGUGCGUGCCGAUGUGGGUUUGUAUAUCUAGAUAUGUAUUCCAUGUAACAUCUUUUCUUCUUCCCCCGGGGCCUUGGGACAGUGGCUCAGUGCUGAGGAGGGGCGGUGGCGCGCAUGCGCUCAGGUCCGUCCGUCCCGGGGGCACUUUGGGAGUCGUAGUCUCAUGUGCUUUGCAGCAGCUCGAGGAGGAGGAGGAGGAGGAGGAGGAGGGAAAAGAAGGUCGAAGCGUGCUAGCAGCCCUUGGCUGAGGUCCAGCAGCUCCCGGAGCAGCAGUAGCGGCAGCGGCGGCAGACACGGCGGCGGCGGCGGCUCCUGCACCCUCGCUACCGGGCAGGGACCAGACACAGUAGUAGCUUCCUCCCACCCCAUCAUGCCGGCCUCCCCCCCUCCCCUCAGCCCUAGGGCCAGAAGAGCGAGAAAGCAUGCCUGCGGUAAAGGGUCCGAUUGGAGCCUCGCUUCGCCUCGCCCCACCUCGCCUCGCCCCGCAUGCGGCCAGGAGAAGGGACAAGGGAGGCUUCCAUUCUAUCAUUGGGGAUUCUGGAAAACUGGAAGUGGUCAGAAGACUAGGGGACCACUCAGAACUGUCCUCAAGAAAGGGAUUUUCAGGUUUGAACUCUUUCCCCCCCCCUUUUCUUCUCAAAAUGGCCCUGUGCGUGUGGUAUGUAUGUGGAGGGGGGGGCAUUCUUCUCAAUCUGGACGUUCCUUUUCAGGAAACUUUUCAAGAUCCGGAGACCAGUAGCCGUGUACCCAUUCUUCUCAAGCCUCAGGUAAGGGAAGCCUGGGGGUUUAAGAGAAAAGAACAGAAGCAAGAACUCUGACAACUUCUUUUCCUCACGGUGGCAGACCAGUUUGCCCCCCCACCCCCCCACCAUUGCAGAAAACCUUGAAGAUGGUAGGUAUGAUACCGUAUCCUUUAAAUAAAUGAUUUUUUAGAAUUAGUCA